CAAUAUUAAAUGCUUUGGAUCUCCCUGCAUACAGUGGUGACAUAAGAGACUCAUAUCAGAGAAUAGGAAUUAAUGGGUAACUCAACCUUGCCCAUGGGCAUUUUUCAAAUUCAAUGAAACUUCCAAGAAUUCUAGGCAGCUGUUAUACAGAAGGCAUAAUACUAAAUAUAAGGAACAGAAAACUAAAGGAAAGUUCCGAAUGACUAGUAGAAAGAUCCUCCGGACCCAAGCUCAAGGAACAUUACAUAGCUUGUUCUUAGAGAGCAGAAUUGGGAAGAGGAGAUAACAGAAACUAUGUGCGUCGAUUAGAUAACUUACUGUUAUGCUGAAUAACCUGUAAAGGACAUCAUUCAUACCCCCAGUUUCUUCAUUGAGUGAAAGAAAAUGUCUUUCA
rnacentral:misc_RNA from 1 species